rnacentral:lncRNA from 1 species
CGCUUUAGUAAUGGUAUGAAAACGGUCAACUAAGUUCUUUGAAUAGCAAGGAGGAACAGGCCAAGUUUGGCCAAAACCAAGCUGGCGAGCAAAAAAUUGGGGAGCAUAAAUCUCUACCCCUGCCUUGGCAUUAGUCCCAGUUAGAAUAUCAUGAAAUAGCUCCCUCCCGGUUAAAAACUGAAUCCAAAUGAGCAGGGAGGUGCUCGCGCUAUCUAUGGUGGAAGGGGGAUGUACAUAGUUUGGAGUCAAAAAAGGAGGAAAAGG